GCCAGCAGCCGCGGUAACACCGGCGGCCCGAGUGGUGAUCGUGAUUAUUGGGUCUAAAGGGUCCGUAGCCGGUUGGUCAGUCCUCCGGGAAAUCUGAUAGCUCAACUAUUAGGCUUUCGGGGGAUACUGCCAGACUUGGAACCGGGAGAGGUAAGAGGUACUACAGGGGUAGGAGUGAAAUCUUGUAAUCCCUGUGGGACCACCUGUGGCGAAGGCGUCUUACCAGAACGGGUUCGACGGUGAGGGACGAAAGCUGGGGGCACGAACCGGAUUAGAUACCCGGGUAGUCCCAGCCGUAAACGAUGCUCGCUAGGUGUCAGGCAUGGCGCGACCGUGUCUGGUGCCGCAGGGAAGCCGUGAAGCGAGCCACCUGGGAAGUACGGCCGCAAGGCUGAAACUUAAAGGAAUUGGCGGGGGAGCACAACAACGGGUGGAGCCUGCGGUUUAAUUGGACUCAACGCCGGACAACUCACCGGGGGCGACAGCAAUAUGUAGGCCAAGCCUGAAGACUUUGCCUGAAUCGCUGAGGGGAGGUGCAUGG
rnacentral:rRNA from 1 species